rnacentral:rRNA from 1 species
CUCAUAGCGUAUAUUAAGUUGUUGCAGUUAAAACGCUCGUAGUCGGAUUUCGGGGCGGGCUGCUCGGUCUGCCGAUGGGUAUGCACUGGGUGGCGCGUCCUUCCUUCCGGAGACCGCGCCUUCUCUUAACUGAGCGGGCGCGGGAGACGGAACGUUUACUUUGAAAAAAUCAGAGUGUUUCAAGCAGGCAUCUCGCUCUUGCAUGGAUUAGCAUGGGAUAAUGAAAUAGGACUUUGGUGCUAUUUUGUUGGUUUCGAACACCGAAGUAAUGAUUAACAGGGACAGUCAGGGGCACUCGUAUUCCGUCGAGAGAGGUGAAAUUCUCAGACCAACGGAAGACGAACCACUGCGAAAGCAUUUGCCAGGGAUGUUUUCACUGAUCAAGAACGAAAGUUAGGGGAUCGAAGACGAUCAGAUACCGUCGUAGUCUUAACCAUAAACCAUGCCGACUAGGGAUUCGAGGGUGUUCCAUCUGUGACCCCUUGAGCACCUUUCGGGAAACUAAAGUCUUUGGGUUCCGGGGGGAGUAUGGUCGCAAGGCUGAAACUUAAAGGAAUUGACGGAAGGGCACCACCAGGAGUGGAGCCUGCGGCUUAAUUUGACUCAACACGGGGAAACUUACCAGGUCCAGACAUUGUGAGGAUUGACAGAUUGAGAGCUCUUUCUUGAUCCAAUGGGUGGUGGUGCAUGGCCGUUCUUAGUUGGUGGAGUGAUUUGUCUGGUUAAUUC